GCUGCUAUAGCUCAGCAGGUAGAGCGCGUCCUUGGUAAGGACGAGGUCUCCGGUUCAAUCCCGGAUAGCAGCUCCA
rnacentral:tRNA from 1 species